rnacentral:rRNA from 1 species
AGUCCGCCCAGUGCCGUAGGGAAACCAUAAAGCCCGCCGCCUGGCGAGUACGGCCGCAAGGCUGAAACUUAAAGGAAUUGGCGGGGGAGCACCACAAGGGGUGAAUGCUGCGGUUUAAUUGGAGUCAACGCCGGGAACCUUACCGGGGGCGACAGCAGGAUGACGGCCAGGCUGACGACCUUGCCAGACGCGCUGAGAGGAGGUACAUCGCCGUCGCCAGUUCGUGCCGUGAGGUGUCCGGUUAAGUUCGGCAACGAACGAGACCCCCACCCCCAGUUGCUACCGCACCCCUGCGGGGGUACGGGCACUCUGGGGGGACUGCCGGCGCUGAGCCGGAGGAAGGAGGGGGCCACGGCAGGUCAGCAUGCCCCGAAACCCCCGGGCCACACGCGGCAUGCAAUGGUGGGGACAAUGGGUUCCGACCCCGAAAGGGGGAGGCAAUCCCAUAAACCCCACCUCAGUUGGGAUUGAGGGCUGCAACUCGCCCUCACGAACAUGGAAUCCCUAGUAACCGCGCGUCACCAUCGCGCGGUGAUACGUCCUGCUCCUUGCACACACCGCCCGUCAAGG